UAGUCCACGCUGUAAACGAUGUCUACUUGGAGGUUGUUGUCUUGAAUGAUGGCUUUCGGAGCUAACGCGUUAAGUAGACCGCCUGGGGAGUACGGCCGCAAGGUUAAAACUCAAAUGAAUUGACGGGGGCCCGCACAAGCGGUGGAGCAUGUGGUUUAAUUCGAUGCAACGCGAAGAACCUUACCUACUCUUGACAUCUAGAGAAGCUUGCAGAGAUGCGAGUGUGCCUUCGGGAACUCUAAGACAGGUGCUGCAUGGCUGUCGUCAGCUCGUGUUGUGAAAUGUUGGGUUAAGUCCCGCAACGAGCGCAACCCUUAUCCUUAGUUACCAGCAUUAAGUUGGGGACUCUAGGGAGACUGCCGGUGUUAAACCGGAGGAAGGCGGGGAUGACGUCAAGUCCUCAUGGCCCUUACGGGUAGGGCUACACACGUACUACAAUGGCAGAUACAAACCGUUUGCAAAGCCGCGAGGUUGAGCUAAUCGGUAAAACACUGUCCCAGUCCGGAUUGGAGUCUGC
rnacentral:rRNA from 1 species